rnacentral:lncRNA from 1 species
GAUGUCAAUGGGUCGGAUUUUCGAAUCCGAACCCGACUCCAAACCCGAAACCCGAAUCCGAAUCCGAACUUGACGGAUUUUAAAAAUUCAUAUCCAAACCCGAACCCGACAAAAAAUCCGAAAUCUGAACCCGAACCCAAAAAUUUGAAUCCGAAACAGUUAUUUACUUUUUCAAUAUUUCAAAAUAUAUUAUAUUAAAUCUAAAUUUUUAAAAUAUAAAUUCAAAUAUAACAUCAAAUUUAUAUAUAUAUAUAUAUAUAUAUAUAUAUAUAUAUAUAUAAAAAUAAAAUACAAAAUAAAUUCUGGUUCGAAUUGGGUUCGGAUUCGGAUUCGGGUCGGGUACAGUCAAAAUCUAUAUCCAAAUCCAUAUCUAUUUAGUAUCGGAUAUAUCCGUUUCAUUCGGGUUCGGAUUCGGAUAAAAAUUUCGGAUAUCCAUACCUAUUAACAUCACUAGG